rnacentral:rRNA from 1 species
AGACCCGAAACCCGGUGAUCUAGCCAUGGGCAGGUUGAAGGUUGGGUAACACUAACUGGAGGACCGAACCGACUAAUGUUGAAAAAUUAGCGGAUGACCUGUGGCUGGGGGUGAAAGGCCAAUCAAACCGGGAGAUAGCUGGUUCUCCCCGAAAGCUAUUUAGGUAGCGCCUCGUGAAUUCAUCUCCGGGGGUAGAGCACUGUUUCGGCUAGGGGGCCAUCCCGGCUUACCAACCCGAUGCAAACUGCGAAUACCGGAGAAUGUUAUCACGGGAGACACACGGCGGGUGCUAACGUCCGUCGUGAAGAGGGAAACAACCCAGACCGCCAGCUAAGGUCCCAAAGUCAUGGUUAAGUGGGAAACGAUGUGGGAAGGCCCAGACAGCCAGGAUGUUGGCUUAGAAGCAGCCAUCAUUUAAAGAAAGCGUAAUAGCUCACUGGUCGAGUCGGCCUGCGCGGAAGAUGUAACGGGGCUAAACCAUGCACCGAAGCUGCGGCAGCGACGCUUAUGCGUUGUUGGGUAGGGGAGCGUUCUGUAAGCCUGUGAAGGUGGCCUGUGAGGGUUGCUGGAGGUAUCAGAAGUGCGAAUGCUGACAUAAGUAACGAUAAAGCGGGUGAAAAGCCCGCUCGCCGGAAGACCAAGGGUUCCUGUCCAACGUUAAUCGGGGCAGGGUGAGUCGACCCCUAAGGCGAGGCCGAAAGGCGUAGUCGAUGGGAAACAGGUUAAUAUUCCUGUACUUGGUGUUACUGCGAAGGGGGGACGGAGAAGGCUAUGUUGGCCGGGCGACGGUUGUCCCGGUUUAAGCGUGUAGGUGUGUGUUCCAGGUAAAUCCGGUUCACUUUAACACUGAGGCGUGAUGACGAGGCACUACGGUGCUGAAGCAACAAAUGCCCUGCUUCCAGGAAAAGCCUCUAAGCAUCAGGUAACAUCAAAUCGUACCCCAAACCGACACAGGUGGUCAGGUAGAGAAUACCAA